CGGACCUCUUCGGAGGUCAGCGGCGGACGGGUGAGGAACACGUGGGUAAUCUGCCUUUCAGACCGGAAUAACGCCCGGAAACGGGCGCUAAUGCCGGAUACGCCCGCGAGGAGGCAUCUUCUUGCGGGGAAAGGCCCAAUGGGGCCGCUGAGAGAGGAGCCCGCGGCGCAUUAGCUGGUUGGCGGGGUAACGGCCCACCAAGGCGACGAUGCGUAGCCGACCUGAGAGGGUGACCGGCCACACUGGGACUGAGACACGGCCCAGACUCCUACGGGAGGCAGCAGUAGGGAAUCUUCCGCAAUGGGCGCAAGCCUGACGGAGCAACGCCGCGUGAGCGAAGAAGGCCUUCGGGUUGUAAAGCUCUGUUGCUCGGGGAGAGCGGCAUGGGGAGUGGAAAGCCCCAUGCGAGACGGUACCGAGUGAGGAAGCCCCGGCUAACUACGUGCCAGCAGCCGCGGUAAAACGUAGGGGGCGAGCGUUGUCCGGAAUCACUGGGCGUAAAGGGUGCGUAGGCGGUCGAGCAAGUCUGGAGUGAAAGUCCAUGGCUCAACCAUGGGAUGGCUCUGGAAACUGCUUGACUUGAGUGCUGGAGAGGCAAGGGGAAUUCCACGUGUAGCGGUGAAAUGCGUAGAGAUGUGGAGGAAUACCAGUGGCGAAGGCGCC
rnacentral:rRNA from 1 species